GACAGAGGCCUCGAGCGUUAGGCGGAAUCACUGGGCUUAAAGCGUGUGUAGGCGGAUCGUUAAGUGUCUUGUGAAAUCCCACGGCUCAACCGUGGAACGGCUGGGCAUACUGGCGAUCUUGAGCAGCCUAGGGGCGACCGGAACAAACGGUGGAGCGGUGAAAUGCGUAGAUAUCAUUUGGAACGCCAAUGGUGAAAACAGCUCGCUGGGGGUUUGCUGACGCUGAGACACGAAAGCCAGGGGAGCAAACGGG
rnacentral:rRNA from 1 species